rnacentral:ncRNA from 1 species
AUAAAAUUUUUAUGUUUUGUAAAAUUUAUUAUAUAUUUAUUUUACAUAUAAAUUUUAGUGUUAAAUUUUAAUUAUUUUAAUAAUAAUUAAAAUUAAUUUAUAGUAAUUAAAAUUAAAAAUUUAAGAAAUUAAGAUUUAGUAAUAUAGAAAUUAAUAACUAAUUUUGUGCCAGCAGUUGCGGUUAUACAAAAAUUAAAUUAAAUUAUUUCAGUUUAUAAUAAAUAAAAUAAAAAUAAAAAUAAAUAUUAAAUUAUUAGGUGAAAUUUUAAUUUAACUAAAUUUUAAGUUAAUUUUAUGAUUUAAUAAAUUUAAUAAUAAACUAGGAUUAGAUACCCUAUUAUUAAAAAUUUAAUUUAUAAUACUAAAAUAGUAAAUAAAAAAUAUUGAAACUUAAAUAAUAUGGCGGUAUUUUAGUUCAUUUAGAGGAAUCUGUCUAAUAAUUGAUAAUCCACGAAUAAAUUUACUUAAUUUAAAAUUUUAUAUAUCGUUGUUAAAAAAAUAUUUUAUAAUAAAAAUAAUAUUUAAAAAUUUAAAUAAGAAAUUAAUUCAGAUCAAGAUGUAGAAUAUAAUUAAGAAUAUGAUGGAUUACAAUAAAAUAAUUUAAUAUGAAUAAUUUAAUUUUAAAAUUAAUUUGAAGGUGGAUUUAAAUGUAAUUUUAAUUAAUUUAUUAAAAUGAUUAAAAAUUGAAAUAUGUACAUAUUGCCCGUCACUUUCAUUUGAAAAUUGGAAUAAGUCGUAACAAAGUAGAGGUACUGGAAAGUGUUUCUAGAAUGAA